rnacentral:misc_RNA from 1 species
CACCAAGUUAUCUUUUUCACUUUGUGUGUUUCCUGACUUGCCAAACGCUCGAGUGAUAGCUAGCCUUCCUUUAAGCUUGUUUGUGCAAAUCUUUCAAGUUGGCACAGAGGUAGACCGCCACAUUUCUUUUGGGUAAACGUGCAGCCGUUUCAGGCCAUGUUCAUGGAGAGGGAGGGAGUGACUUUGCAGUUUUGCAAAAAAUUGCAGACGCUCAAAGCUGAAAAAUUGGAUUCCUGAGCUGGAUCAAGCUGUAAUGACAGGAGGCUGAGCUGACUGGCUUCACAGCCGGUUGGCUUAUAUCCAGGUCAUUGCGGCAAUGAACUGGCAAAAGUUUUCGGUUGGACCGCUUAAGCUUACAUGGUGUGACAAUGGGAUUCAAUCGGAGCCUGCUUUCGUGGUCUCUGGCUGUUUUGCCUCUUGUCACACGUUCAACGAUCGGCAGCUGCUUGCGGCUCGCCUUCUGCUGUUGCCUGUAAGGCACACAGGGAAUGAAUGAGGGGUUUGUGCAUUUUACACGAUGUGCAAACAUAUCUCAAGCUCAUACAGUCGGCAGUGUAGAAUUUAGCCUUCAGUGGCUGAAUUGGUCACGCCGGCAAUAAAGCCCUACUGGUGCCCAGACAUUGAAAAGCCUUUUAAAGGCUGACACUUGUUUUGGGUUCACGGUUGUGGCAUGGGAACAUUGGAAGGGAAUCGUGGGAACCUAGUCAAUGCUUUGAGUGGGUCGGCCGCUCAAGCAUCGGCAGCAAGCCUUUCAAAUGACACUUGGCCCGAAGGGCCACGUAUCGGAACAAGCUCUCAAUCGCCUUCAAUGGUUCAGUGGGAGUGAGUUCAAAGGCAGC